AUAGUACCAUUUUGAUCUAUACUAUUAAUUAAAUGGAACAAAUGUUUAGUGGGCCAUUUUUGGUAAGCAGAACUGGCGAUGCGGGAUGAACCGAAAGUUAAGUUAAAGUGUCGAAAUAUAAGCUAAUUUAGAUAUCAUAAAAGGUGUUGAUUUAUAUAGACAGCAGGACGGUGGUCAUGGAAGUCGAUAUCCGCUAAGAAGUGUGUAACAACAUACCUGCCAAAUGAAUUGGCCUGAAAAUCGAUGACGCUCAAGCUUAAUACUUAAACUUAACCGUUAUUGCGAAUUAAUUAGCUUUAACGAGUAGGAGAACGUGAAUGUAAUUAAAAAGUUUAAUGAAGUGAUUCUAAAUGAAAAUUGCAUUUAGUGCAGAUCUUGGUGGUAGUAGCAAAUAUUCAAGUAAAAUUCUUGAAACCGAUGAAGAGAUAGGUUUCAUGAGAACAGCAAUUGAUC
rnacentral:rRNA from 1 species